rnacentral:rRNA from 1 species
CGUAGGGUGCGAGCGUUGUCCGGAAUUAUUGGGCGUAAAGAGCUCGUAGGCGGUGUGUCGCGUCGGCCGUGAAAACCUGUGGCUUAACUGCGGGCUUGCGGUCGAUACGGGCAUCACUGGAGUUCGGCAGGGGAGACUGGAAUUCCUGGUGUAGCGGUGAAAUGCGCAGAUAUCAGGAGGAACACCGGUGGCGAAGGCGGGUCUCUGGGCCGAUACUGACGCUGAGGAGCGAAAGCGUGGGAGCGAACAGGAUU